rnacentral:lncRNA from 1 species
GCCACACCUCCCCUUCUUUUCCUCCUCCUUUGCCCAAUCUCUCCUAGUACAAAAACAUAGCAUCCUUGGAAGUCAAAUACGACAAUAUAGUGUGCAAUGCAACUUGAGUUACUGUACAAAGCCUCCAACCAUGUGAGUCACUAAAAUGCAUAAAUAUUUUCCAUCAAGUUAGCUCAAAUGGCUAAUGAAGAAGGCAAUUG